ACCGGAAGUGUAUUAGGGAAAAAACACUUCCGGUCUGGACUUGCCUUAGUGCCCGACUGAUUUCUCAGACUGCAGAAUAUGCCUGAUAACAAGAAGGAGAAUGACAAAAGACCAUCAUGCAUUAGUGAUGUGACUACAUCUACUCUGCGAGGUUUUUGUCUGGGAUCGACAGCCAGUUUUAUAAUUGUGGGAUUUACAAUUUACAGAAAAGGAGUUCGAGGACCAAAGCUGUAUGAGACAGUAGGAAAGAUAGCACUUAAAAGUGGUGCUGCAUUUGGAAUAUUCACUGGUUUCCUGUCGGCAAUUACUUGCAAAUCACACAAAGAGCAAUCAUAGGAUUGACUGUUGAAGCAAAUGUCUGAUCUACAAAAACAUUUUAUAACGCCAAAAAUUAAAAAUCCAAU